AAGCACACAACACAUACACAACUAGUUUCUAGCCAGGAAUUGGUGGAAGGAAGGAGCAAACUCAGGUACUGAUGUCCUAUUCCUUUCAGCUCCUUCUUUAUCGUAGGUGAUGAGCAUGCAGCAAUAAUAGUAGCCUAUUCAUCUAGUCCAGUCACUUUUCAUCUAGCUCAUGCAGGCAUGGCGCACAAAUAAAACUCUCUACCUAUUCCUGCUAGUUACUGCUGCAUGCAGUAACUAGUUGAAUCUAGGACUAGUAUUACUCAGUAUCUAUACCCUGGAAAGUUGAUGCGGCUAGUAACUUGCAGCUACUGGUUUUAUCAGGAUCUAUUACCAAAGAAGAAUUAAUAACGGGAGGAAUACUCACUAGUCAAGGUAAGACUGCGCAUAUCUGUUCACCUGCUCUAAUUUAGUUAUGAGUGAACUGUAACAAUGUGUUCAAUUGAUCUAGGCAGAAUAUGUCAUGAGCUACUAUAUGAUUUGAACCAGUAAGAUAGUUGAAUGAUAAUAAUUAAUUGCAUUCACAUGAAAUAAUACCGUCACUAUCUGGGUAAGUAAUGGUAUGCUCAGCCUGAGAUGACCAAGACCUGAAAUUUAUGAUGCACGGACUGGCUGUGGUUAGUGUGAGUAGGCACAACUCAUACAAGUAGGGUAUUUUGGUGACGUGAUUCUCAGAUGAAGGGCAGUACCCUAUAAAUAAAUAAAAAAAUUAAUGGAGGAAGAUUGUGAUGGUACACGUGAUAUAUCUCUGCAGGGUAUAUCGUCAUAGUUGACUAACUUUUAUUCAUUAAUCCUUUAUUAUUCUUGCUGAGUGUGUGUAAACAUACUCAUGUUAGCUCUUCCUUUUGACAUGUGCAGAAGGGGAUGAGAAUAGUUUUGAUUUGAUUGGGAGAGGUGAUGAUGACAUACAUGCAUAGUGUCAAUACCUGAGACAACAGCUCGACAACCACUGUUGUUGCGUCUUCAUGAAUAAAAGCAAAUAAGAACAAGAUUAGACUCACCGAGAUGGUAGUAUGGGAAAGGAUGUUUGUUUCUAUACUAGACAAAUGAAAAUAAAGCUGUGAUGUACUUGUAACUCUGAUAUGAAUAAAGCUUGGCUUGUUGUUUAUGAU
rnacentral:lncRNA from 1 species